GAUGGGAAUGGUUUUGUGCUGCGAGCCGAUGAUCUGGAAGAAAUCACUGCCACUUUUGCACGGUUCUUGCGGAGCCCACGUGUUCAAGGGACCAUAAGGAACGAAUCUCCAUAUUGGAGAGAAAUUGCAGCAACUUGCAUUCAACUAGCAUGGAGAUACCGGAAGAAGCGUUUGAGCCGAGGAGCAAGCGGUCAACCUCAACCAGAUAAUCCCACCAGGUAAUAACCUUCCUGGUAAUUUGUGGAUGUAAUAUCCUAUUUUCCAUGGAAAAAAAUGUAUGUAAUUGUAUUAUUGAUCUCAAUGAUUGGCCCCUUUAUAAGGGGCCCACAUAUCUGUAAUGAAUGCGGGACAUUUAUCAAAUCCCACUCAGUUGUAUCUAUGCAAGUUUUUGUCUCUCUUAUGGUUGUACAUACCACAAAAACAUCGAUGUAGAUCAAUGGUUGAUUUAUUUCCAUGGGUCGCCUGUUCUGAUUGAAAUAAAUUGUAUUUUUCUGUUCUGGGCAAUAGAGGUGGGACCCAACUAUUGGUAACCCACACUUGGUCUUGGA